rnacentral:lncRNA from 1 species
GGCUUGUAAGUACUCCGUGAGAGCAGAUCUUCUCAAAGAGCUCCUUCACUUCCAGAUUGGCUGCUGCCCGAAAAACUUGAGAGUCACUGAGAGCCACUGCUCCAGAGAAAGAUUACUCUUCAGGAGCAGGGAAACCUGGGAUCCGGGUGUGGCUCUCUACUAACCCACCUUUGACCAGCAGCCUCAUCUCACUGGGCCUCAGUUUCCCAGUCAUGUUUGGGGUACAACCACGCCUGCCCCCAUCCUACCUGACAGGGCUGAUACAGGCUCAAGAGUGUGAUGGGUGUGGAAGAGCUUCCUGAAAUGCCAGCUCGAUAUGUUCCGAUGGGUUUUGCAUGAGUGAAUUCUACAAUGGCAGGGCACACACUCCGUGCAAGUCUUAUGCUAGGCUUGCGGACCCAGAGAUAAGCGGGACCUAACCUUUGUCUCCAGGAGCUCGCAGUCUGUUCUUUUUUCUGGAAGCUGACUUCCAUUCUGUGUGGCUUUUGUGCCCGGUCAGCAUACACUGUACUCACCAGUGAAGUUCUGGUGGUGGCGUUCUCACCGCACUCUCCUCCCUUCCUCCCCUCAUGCUCUCCCCUUCUCCCUGCCUGCAAGCUGCUUCUGUAGGAACAUGAGUGGGACAGGCUUCCAGACACCGUCUCAUCCAGAUGGCAGUGGAGGCCACUGAGGCUCAGAGGAGUGAAUGACUGACCAAGACCUGUUUACCUGCCUGUUUUGUUGGUUUUUAAAAACACCUUUCCAAGAGUUAAUGUACACUGAUUCUUAAUAUGUGGGACAUAUAAUAUAAAAAUUUCAUACUGAAUAAAUGAUAUUUAUUAAG